UACGUAGGGCGCAAGCGUUGUCCGGAAUUAUUGGGCGUAAAGAGCUCGUAGGCGGCUUGUCACGUCGAUUGUGAAAGCCCGAGGCUUAACCUCGGGUCUGCAGUCGAUACGGGCAAACUUGAGUGUUGCAGGGGAGACUGGAAUUCCUGGUGUAGCGGUGAAAUGCGCAGAUAUCAGGAGGAACACCGGUGGCGAAGGCGGGUCUCUGGGCAACAACUGACGCUGAGGAGCGAAAAGCGUGGGGGAGCGAACAGG
rnacentral:rRNA from 1 species